GACGAACGCUGGCGGCGUGCUUAACACAUGCAAGUCGAACGAUGAAGGGGUGCUUGCACUCUGGAUUAGUGGCGAACGGGUGAGUAACACGUGAGUAACCUGCCCUUCACUCUGGGAUAACGCUGGGAAACUGGUGCUAAUACUGGAUAUUACCUUUGCCUGCAUGGGUAUUGGUGGAAAGCUUUUGUGGUGGAGGAUGGACUCGCGGCCUAUCAGCUUGUUGGUGGGGUAAUGGCCUACCAAGGCGACGACGGGUAGCCGGCCUGAGAGGGUGACCGGCCACACUGGGACUGAGACACGGCCCAGACUCCUACGGGAGGCAGCAGUGGGGAAUAUUGCACAAUGGGCGAAAGCCUGAUGCAGCGACGCCGCGUGAGGGAUGACGGCCUUCGGGUUGUAAACCUCUUUCAGCUCUGACGAAGCUUUUUGUGACGGUAGGAGCAGAAGAAGCACCGGCUAACUACGUGCCAGCAGCCGCAGUAAGAC
rnacentral:rRNA from 1 species